rnacentral:rRNA from 1 species
UACAGAGGUCUCAAGCGUUGUUCGGAUUCAUUGGGCGUAAAGGGUCCGUAGGCGGCGCGGUAAGUCGGGUGUGAAAUCUCGGAGCUCAACUCCGAAACUGCCUUCGAUACUGCUGUGCUUGAGGACUGUAGAGGAGAAUGGAAUUCACGGUGUAGCAGUGAAAUGCGUAGAUAUCGUGAGGAAGACCAGUGGCGAAGGCGAUUCUCUGGGCAGUUCCUGACACUGAGGCACGAAGGCUAGGGGAGCAAACGGG